rnacentral:rRNA from 1 species
UACGGAGGGGGCUAGCGUUGUUCGGAAUUACUGGGCGUAAAGCGCACGUAGGCAGCUUUGUAAGUUAGAGGUGAAAGCCCGGGGCUCAACUCCGGAAUUGCCUUUAAGACUGCAUCGCUCGAAUUGUGGAGAGGUAAGUGGAAUUCCGAGUGUAGAGGUGAAAUUCGUAGAUAUUCGGAAGAACACCAGUGGCGAAGGCGACUUACUGGACACAUAUUGACGCUGAGGUGCGAAAGCGUGGGGAGCAAACAGG